AUCCAGUUGAUGAAUCUCAAAUAGGACUAAACGCAUGUCCUGAAU
rnacentral:hammerhead_ribozyme from 1 species